CCUACGGGGGACAGCAGUAGGGAAUCUUCCACAAUGGGCGAAAGCCUGCUGGAGCAACGCCGCGUGGGUGAAGAAGGUCUUCGGAUCGUAAAACCCUGUUGUUAGAGAAGAAAGUGCGUGAGAGUAACUGUUCACGUUUCGACGGUAUCUAACCAGAAAGCCACGGCUAACUACGUUCCAGCAGCCGCGGUAAUACGUAGGUGGCAAGCGUUAUCCGGAUUUAUUGGGCGUAAGGGGAACGCAGGCGGUCUUUUAAGUCUGAUGUGAAAGCCUUCGGCUUAACCGGAGUAGUGCAUUGGAAACUGGGAGACUGGAGUGCAGAAGAGGAGAGUGGAACUCCAUGUGUAGCGGUGAAAUGCGUAGAUAUAUGGAAGAACACCAGUGGCGAAAGCGGCUCUCUGGUCUGUAACUGACGCUGAGGUUCGAAAGCGUGGGUAGCAAACAGGAUUAGAUACCCCAGUAGUC
rnacentral:rRNA from 1 species